UACSGGAGGCAGCAGUGGGGRAAUAUUGGACAAUGGGCGAAAGCUGAUCCAGCCAUGCCGCGUGUGUGAAGAAGGCUUUCGGGUUGUAAAGCACUUUCAGCGAGGAAGAAAGCCUCUGGGUYAAUACYYCAGAGGAAGGACAUCACUCGCAGAAGAAGCACCGGCUAACUCCGUGCCAGCAGCCGCGGUAAUACGGAGGGUGCGAGCGUUAAUCGGAAUUACUGGGCGUAAAGCGCGCGUAGGUGGCUUGGCACGCCGGUUGUGAAAGCCCCGGGCUCAACCUGGGAACGGCAUCCGGAACGGCCAGGCUAGAGUGCAGGAGAGGAAGGUAGAAUUCCCGGUGUAGCGGUGAAAUGCGUAGAGAUCGGGAGGAAUACCAGUGGCGAAGGCGGCCUUCUGGCCUGACACUGACACUGAGGUGCGAAAGCGUGGGUAGCAAACAGGAUUAGAUACCCUGGUAGUCCACGCCGUAAACGAUGUCGACUAGCCGUUGGGACCUUUAAGGACUUAGUGGCGCAGUUAACGCGAUAAGUCGACCGCCUGGGGAGUACGGCCGCAAGGUUAAAACUCAAAUGAAUUGACGGGGGCCCGCACAAGCGGUGGAGCAUGUGGUUUAAUUYGAUGCAACGCGAAGAACCUUACCUACCCUUGACAUCCAGAGAAGUUGGCAG
rnacentral:rRNA from 1 species